UCCGGAUUUAUUGGGCGUAAAGAGCUUGUAAAUUGUUUGUCGCGUCGGGAGUGAAAACUUGGCGCUUAAAGAUGAGCUUGCUUUCGAUACGGGCUGACUUGAGGGAGGUACCCUAGAAUGGAAUUCCUGGUGGAGCGGUGGAAUGCGCAGAUAUCAGGAGGAACACCGGUGGCGAAGGCGGUUCUCUGGACCUUUCCUGACGCUGAGGCUCGAAAGCGUGGGGAGCGAACAGGAUUAGAUACCCUGGUAGUCCACGCCGUAAACGAUGAGUGCUAGGUGUCGGGGGGGAACCCUCGGUGCCGCAGCUAACGCAAUAAGCACUCCACCUGGGGAGUACGAUCGCAAGAUUGAAACUCAAAGGAAUUGGACGGGGGCCCGCACAAGCGUGGAGCAUGUGGUUUAAUUCGAAGCAACGCGAAGAACCUUACCAAGGCUUGACAUCCCUCUGACCGGUGUAGAGAUACACCUUCUCUUCGGAGCAGAGGUGACAGGUGGUGCAUGGUUGUCGUCAGCUCGUGUCGUGAGAUGUUGGGUUAAGUCCCGCAACGAGCGCAACCCAAGGUGGGGAUGACGUCAAGUCAUCAUGCCCCUUAUGUCCAGGGCUUCACGCAUGGGCUUCACGCAUGCUACAAUGGCCGGUACAAAGAGCUGCGAGCCUGUGAGGGUG
rnacentral:rRNA from 1 species